rnacentral:misc_RNA from 1 species
AAAAAAUUAAAAAAACAAAAAAAAUGAAUAAAAACUAAAAGAAAAAUAGGUGGUGGUACACUCAACGGUGAUCACUCAGUAAAUUAAAAAGGAGAAAAAGAUGAGAGAUUGAAGAAAAAAGAUAAAAAAAAAGGAAGGAAAAAUAAAAAAAGGUGAGGAUCCUAUGUAUAAUAUUUCCUUUUGGCAUUUAUCUUAUUGAUUAUAUAUUUAAUGGAUCAUAAGAUGAACACUUGAAAAUGGUAUUUUGUUGUUGUCUUUUAAUGGAAUGGCAUAUUACGUCUUGAAGCGGUGGGAAAGCAAAGUCUGUAUUCUGCGUUACAAAGCCAAUUCCGUUUUAUAUUUUAGGUGUGCGGCUACUUUCUUCUGUCCUCUUGCAGCAAGUACUUGAUUGUCUGACUUAUACAGGAAGAUGAAAAUUAAAAGUGUGUAAUAG